GUUGUGGCUCAGCGGUAGAGCACUCGUCUCGCACGAGCGGGACCCUGGGUUCGAUCCUCAGCACACA
rnacentral:tRNA from 1 species